UACGAAGGGGGGCUAGCGUUGUUUCGGAAUUACUGGGCGUAAAGCGCACGUAGGCGGAUAUUUAAGUCAGGGGUGAAAUCCCGGGGCUCAACCCCGGAACUGCCUUUGAUACUGGGGUAUCUCGAGUCCGAGAGAGGUGAGUGGAAUUCCGAGUGUAGAGGUGAAAUUCGUAGAUAUUCGGAGGAACACCAGUGGCGAAGGCGGCUCACUGGCUCGGUACUGACGCUGAGGUGCGAAAGCGUGGGGAGCAAACAGGG
rnacentral:rRNA from 1 species